rnacentral:rRNA from 1 species
UACGGGGGGGGCAAGCGUUGUUCGGAAUUACUGGGCGUAAAGGGCUCGUAGGCGGCCAACUAAGUCAGACGUGAAAUCCCUCGGCUUAACCGGGGAACUGCAUCUGAUACUGGAUGGCUUGAGUUCGGGAGAGGGAUGUGGAAUUCCAGGUGUAGCGGUGAAAUGCGUUGAUAUCAUCAGGAACACCGGAGGCGAAGGCGGCUCACUGGGGGUCUUCUGACGCUGAGGAACGAAAGCCAGGGGAGCGAACGGG